rnacentral:rRNA from 1 species
AGUGAACGCUGGCGGUAGGCCUAACACAUGCAAGUCGAACGGCAGCACAGUAAGAGCUUGCUCUUACGGGUGGCGAGUGGCGGACGGGUGAGGAAUACAUCGGAAUCUACUUUUUCGGGGGGGAUAACGUAGGGAAACUUACGCUAAUACCGCAUACGACCUACGGGUGAAAGCAGGGGAUCUUCGGACCUUGCGCGAUUGAAUGAGCCGAUGUCGGGUUAGCUAGUUGGCGGGGUAAAGGCCCACCAAGGCGACGAUCCGUAGCUGGUCUGAGAGGAUGGUCGGCCACACUGGAACUGAGACACGGUCAAGACUCCUACGGGAGGCAGCAGUGGGGAAUAUUAGACAAUGGGCGCAAGCCUGAUCCAGCCAUACCGCGUGGGUGAAGAAGGCCUUCGGGUUGUAAAGACCUUUUGUUGGGAGAGAAAAGCAGCAGGUUAAUACCCCGCUGUUCUGACGGUACCCAAAGAAUAAGCACCGGCUAACUUCGUG